rnacentral:rRNA from 1 species
AUUGAACGCUGGCGGAAUGCUUUACACAUGCAAGUCGAACGGCAGCACGGGGGCAGCCCUGGUGGCGAGUGGCGAACGGGUGAGUAAUACAUCGGAACGUGCCCGGUCGUGGGGGAUAACGUAGCGAGAGUUACGCUAAUACCGCAUACGAUCUGAGGAUGAAAGCGGGGGACCUUCGGGCCUCGCGCGAUCGGAGCGGCCGAUGUCAGAUUAGGUAGUUGGUGGGGUAAAGGCCUACCAAGCCGACGAUCUGUAGCUGGUCUGAGAGGACGACCAGCCACACUGGGACUGAGACACGGCCCAGACUCCUACGGGAGGCAGCAGUGGGGAAUUUUGGACAAUGGGCGCAAGCCUGAUCCAGCCAUUCCGCGUGCAGGACGAAGGCCUUCGGGCUGUAAACUGCUUUUGUACGGAACGAAAAGGCUCUGGCUAAUACCUGGGGCUCAUGACGGUACCGUAAGAAUAAGCACCGGCUAACUACGUG